rnacentral:rRNA from 1 species
AAUCAGGUAGGACUACCCGCUGAACUUAAGCAUAUCAAUAAGCGGAGGAAAAGAAACUAACAAGGAUUCCCCUAGUAACUGCGAGUGAAGCGGGAAAAGCUCAAAUUUAAAAUCUGGCAGCAUUGGCUGUCCGAGUUGUAAUUUAGAGAAGUGUUACCCACGCUGGACCGUGUACAAGUCUCCUGGAACGGAGCGUCGUAGAGGGUGAGAAUCCCGUAUAUGACACGGACUACCAGGGUUUUGUGGUGCGCUCUCGAAGAGUCGAGUUGUUUGGGAAUGCAGCUCAAAAUGGGUGGUAAAUUCCAUCUAAAGCUAAAUAUAGGCGAGAGACCGAUAGCGAACAAGUACCGUGAGGGAAAGAUGAAAAGAACUUUGGAAAGAGAGUUAAACAGUACGUGAAAUUGUUAAAAGGGAAACGCUUGAUGUCAGUCGCGUCUUCCGGGGAUCAGCCUUGCUCUUUUGCUUGGUGCACUUCCCGGCGGAUGGGUCAGCAUCGAUUUUGACCGACGGAAAAAGUGCUUGGGAAUGUGGCAGCCUCGGCUGUGUUAUAGCCCUUGUUCGUAUACGUCGGUUGGGAUCGAGGAACUCAGCACGCCGCAAGGCCGGACUUUUAGUCACGUACGUGCUUAGGAUGCUGGCAUAAU